AGGAGGUGGAUCUGAGAAGAUAUUGCUAUGGUUUAUCUCAGAGUGUUUGGCCUAUGUUUUCAGGUCUAUUGCUGUAGAACUGGGAUACUGUCACUCAAAAGGACUUCUAGCCACCAACUCACAGGACAGCCUAGGUAUGUAAUAAAACUGCAUCUUCAGAAGAUAGCAAAGGAGUGUGAACAGGUAAGGAUGGUCAAGUCACCCAAAAUCACCCAGCAGCAGAAGAAGCACAUGAAAGAUAAGAUGUUCAGGUUGCCACAAACUAGAGCAUUUUUAAGGAAACAAAACACCUGUAAUUUUUAUAUUUUGACUAAGACAUUUUCACAGCAUCUUUUCAGACUGGGAACAAAUGGUAUUUCCAUAAUGACAAGAGUUUUGUAAACAUUAAGAAUAGCACAUGCCAAGCCCUUCCAUGGGAAAGCUUGUGCAUUUGAAACAAAUGGUCUCUUCCCAGUAAUUGGCACAUAGCAGGUGUUCAGAAACUCUUUGUGUAUCAGAUUAAAUGAGGAAACUGGAGGCAUGACAGGACCAAGUAUUUUCCCAAAUGGUUCAUGAACAUUGGAAUGGUAGAAUUAUUAACAUAAAAUCAUUUUAUAGUGCAGUUGAAGGAUUUCUGUUAUAUUUAGAAAUUUUAAAAGAAUGAAAAGAAAGCCUUGUCAAAAUAGUGAAGAUGUCUACAAAUGCGAUUCCAUAAUGUGGACAAACAGAGAAAUAUGGAGCAAGAAGAGAAAUUGAAAAGAAGCCAAUAUUACGUGUUUUCUCUUACUGUUAGGGCACAAAGGAAAAGAAGUAGAUAUGAUAACAGAACGGUAUCUGCCAUUUUCACAUCAAUUAAAAGCCAAGAAAUAAAGACUUCUUUUAAUGAGAAAUAUCAAAGUCUACUUUCAGCCAAAUUUUUAUACCAGGCUUCCUUUUCUAGUCUGUUUGGGCUACUAUAAUACAAUGCUAUAUACUGGGUGGCUUAUAAAAAACACAAAUUUAUUUCUUACAGUUCUGGAAGUUAGGAAGUUCACAAUCAAGACCCCAACAGAUUUGGUGUCUGGUGAGAACCAGCUUGCUGGUCCAUAGAUGGCUGUCUUCUUCCUAUGUCCUCACACAUCAGAAAAGCAAGGCAGCUUUCUGGGGUCUCUUUUAUAAGGAUGCUAAUCCCAUUCAUGAGGGCUCCCUUCUCAGGAUGUAACUGCCUCCCAAACACCCCACCUCCUAAUGCUGUUAUACUGAGGAUUAGGUUUCUACAUAUGAUUUGGACGCUUAUGAACAUUCAGUCUAUACUUCUUCCCAAAAGAACUGAAAUUCUGGAGUUCAAGUGCUGGCUUUACAACAAUAGAUUUGAGACUACAAGCCAGUUGACUAAGGCUGUUUAGAAAUCAGAAACCUAUUAAAUUUUAGGAAUGAAACUUAGAUUAGGCUACACAAUGAUUUUGAAGAUAUGUACAUGAUAUAUUUUCUAUUAAAAUAUCCGUAUUUUUUUGUAUUUUGAUCUAAGUGAUUGGCCAAUCACUUGAAUAGAGUAAUUGCUAAUAAGAUUAAUUAUAUUCUUUUUAUUUUAUGAUAUCUCAUUUUUUAUAAUCAAUAUAAAAUUAGUAGAAAAGCAGCUUGAAAUUUUCGUAUAAUUAAGGAAAAUGGUCUCAAUUCCUUUCCCUUUGAUUAGUGAGCAGGGAAAGCUCUUGUUUGACAUUUACUGAUAUUUAAACUCUUAAAUGAAAUUUGUGUAAGGUUAAAAAUUUACAUGGACUUUAUUCCUUUUGUUGAUUUUAUUGCAUUUUAUAAUUACACAGACUAUAUGAAAUGCCAAAAAUUGUAUUAAAUGUCAAAAAUUGUGCUUAAACAUAGCUAAUCCAAAUCUAUAGAAAAUGUUUAAACUUAGUCAUCAUUCUAUACCAAAUGCUUUUAAAACUUAUUUUUUUAACUUAAGAAAUUUUAUUUUGGAACUACUCUGUGUCUUGAACUAUAUUAAUUCUUGUGGGCUAAUAAAAUGCAUAUGACAGUUCAUAUUGUGUAGACUAUUACACUCUAUUUGGGGUGAAAGAAUAAAAAAUAUAAUAUGAUUUGUUCACACUUCAGAGAUUUAUGUGGGCUGAAAGGUUUAGAGAAGUUCUUAUCAAAUAAGAAAAGACUUGUAUAAAUCGUCUUAUGGAAUUGGACCAGGGUUGGAGUGGGGAAGAAGAGGAAGGACAUAUUUGGAGAGAAUAUAGCAGGAUGUCUGUAGGUCCGUUAAUUCUGCGCUGUGGCAGAUGAGAAACAUGUUUGGAGGAUGAGAAAAAAGUGAAAGUUAUUGUGAUUUUGAGAUCCCAGGAAAGGAUUUACACAAGAUUUGCAAGAGAGUUGGUAUUUUGGAGAAGCAUCUUCUAGGAUAUCUGUAGAAGGUCCGGGAGGCUCCUGUAAGUGAUGGAAAUAGUAGCUGCCAUCCCAGAAGUGUGUGUUUAGUUUCACAGUGCUAGAUAUAACUGUCUUCUCUCUGGGGAGAGUUCAUUGUUUUAAAACAGUCCUAUGAGUUAUCAGAAUACAACAUGCAACACAGAAGUCCUGCCAUAACCAUUGGGAAUUAGUAAAUACACACUCAGAAGAAUGAAUAACGGAUGUUUAAACUCAUUCAACAUGGACAAUCAGAAGUAUUUUCCUUUACACAUGAAAAUUCUUUAGCAGUUGUCGUGAUUGUGUUGCAAAAUGAGCCUCAGUUAUUUUUCAACAUUUUUUUUUCAUUUAAUGUAGCAAAACGUGGAAGAGAAAGAAUUGGGUUUGGAAUAAAAUGGACAAAAGGUGCGUUCUUCCUCUUCCUCCAAGACAUUUAACCUCUUCACAGCGAAUGAUAACACCCUCUUCACAGGAUGCUCUUAAGCAUAACUUAGUAGUAGCAGUAAUAAUAUUGGCUAAUAUUUAUGAAUAUUUUGCACUUAUCAUGUAUUUAUCACUUUUUUGAGAAUUAAAUGAAAUAAUCUUAGUAAAAUAGCAUGUAGCCAUAAAUUAUUCUUCAGAUUUAAAAAAAAAAAGUUGAAAGAGAAAUUGUGAUUUAUAGUAUCUUCUAUAAGAUUAAUAAAGACUUUCCAGCCACCCCCAUUCCUUUUUAGGGCACUUAACUUGUUGGAUUCACAAUCCAAUUCUAUUGGAGAUUACUUUAAAUUUAGCAAUAGAGUUUAAUUUAUAUAAACAUCUUGAGAUAACAAGUCCAGGACUUGGUUUUCUUUAGUGCCUUAUGGAAACCUAAUUUAUUGUUGUUGUUACUUAAUAUACAUCAUUACAUUAUUAAAAACAAAUGGUGGGGAGUUCUCCUGUGAUGCAAUGAGUUAAAGAUCCAGCAUUGUCACUGCAGUGGCUUGGGUCACUGCUGUGGAGAGGGUAUGAUUCCUGGCCCAGGAACUUCCACGUGCCCCUGGUGCUACAAAAAAAAAAAAAAAAAA
ensembl:lncRNA